ACCCCAAAUUGGCAAAUCAUCAUAAUACAUUUGAAAGUAGUAGUCCUUGUCUACUGCAGCCCGAAAUCUAGCAACGUCUUCCUUUGAAAGUGUUUUCUUGCAAACAGUAAUAGAAUCCUUCUCUUGCAAGAAGUCGAGUUUGUAUGGGGCACUAACUAAACGAUCUCCAUUUAAUACUUCCCCAAGAGCCUCCUUUUUCUCCUUCACGUCAUCUGGUACGCAGAAUGGGAGAUCGAAGUAGCGGUAAGUCUCACUCGGAUUAUGAAAUGGGCCAACUUUGUUAGCAUAGAGAGGAACGGAAUCUCCAUCUUUAUAGCGAUGAUCGGAUCCAUCAGAUCUCACCCGAAGAGAUCCGCAGAGGAGAAAAAGUAAGGCGAUGAAAACCACCGCCCCAAAUCUUCCCAUUGUGAAGGAAGCAGAGAGGUAGAAGCAGGG
rnacentral:misc_RNA from 1 species